UGAAUGGCCGCGGUAUUUUAACCGUGCAAAGGUAGCAUAAUCAUUAGUUUUUUAAUUAAAAGCUGGUAUGAAUGGUUGGAUGAAAAAGUGACUGUCUCUAUCUAAGUUUUUUAGAAUUUUAUUUUUAAGUAAAAAAGCUUAAAUUAUAUUAGAAGACGAGAAGACCCUAUAGAGUUUAAUUAAUUUUUGUUAUAAAGUUUUUAGUAUUUUUAAUUUUAUUAUAGUUGAUUAAUUUGAUUGGGGUGAUUUAAAAAUUUAAUAAACUUUUUUUGUAUUUAUACAUUAAUUUAUGAUUACUUGAUCCUUAAUUUAAGAUUAAUAGAUAAAAUUACCUUAGGGAUAACAGCGUUAUUUUUUUAGAGAGUUCUAAUCGAAAAAAAAGAUUGCGACCUCGAUGUUGGAUUAAAAAAAAAUUUUGGUGUAGAAGCUAAAAUAUUUAGGUCUGUUCGACCUUUAAAAUUUUACAUGAUCUGAGUUUAAACCGGCGUGAGCCAGGUUGGUUUCUAUCUCUAUUAUAAAUAAAUAUUUUAGUACGAAAGGACCGAGUAUUUAAUUAAUAGUUUUAACUUUGAAUAUAAUU
rnacentral:rRNA from 1 species